CCUACGGGUGGCAGCAGUAAGGGAUAUUGGUCAAUGGGGGAAACCCUGAACCAGCAACGCCGCGUGAGGGAAGACGGUUUUCGGAUUGUAAACCUCUGUCCUCUGUGAAGAUGCUGACGGUAGCAGAGGAGGAAGCUCCGGCUAACUACGUGCCAGCAGCCGCGGUAAUACGUAGGGAGGGAGCAGUGUCCGGGUUUACUGGGUGGAAAGGGUGGGUAGGCGGCUUGGCAAGUCGGUAGUGAAAUCCAUGGUCUUAACCCAUGAACUGCUAUUGAAACUGUCGGGAUUGAGUGAAGUAGAGGUAGGCGGAAUUCCCGGUGUAGCGGUGAAAUGCGUAGAGAGCGGGAGGAACACCAGUGGCGAAGGCGGCCUACUGGGCUUUAACUGACGCUGAGGCACGAAAGCGUGGGUAGCAAACAGGAUUAGAUACCCCUGUAGUC
rnacentral:rRNA from 1 species